rnacentral:misc_RNA from 1 species
AAGUCGUAACAAGGUAACCGUAGGUGAACCUGCGGUUGGAUCAUUACCAACUAGUUUUUUGUCUGCCCUCCACCGCACUCAAUGGGUGCGGGCUGGUGGGGUCAUUCAAACUACUUUAUCCUCCUUAGUGAACUGUUUUCUGUAUCUUUGGCAGCCCUCCAAACGGGAGAAGGCAUCGGGGGAAUGUAAGAAGUUGUGGGUCUUUCUACAAUGACAAUUGCAUUUUGCCAUCCUUUUCCUUGGGCUGCCAUAACGUGUUCUAUACACUUGACAUCCAACCAUGUAAGAUAGUCCAGAACUUUCAUGUGAGCGGUUUUCUUCGUUUAGAGGGAAAUGGCAAGCAGGGGAGUUGAAACAAUGUAAACAUUUAUUUACAACUUUUGACAACGGAUCUCUUGGCUCUC